rnacentral:rRNA from 1 species
UACGGAGGGUGCGAGCGUUGUCCGGAAUCACUGGGCGUAAAGGGCGCGUAGGCGGCGCGGUAAGCGUGCGGUGAAAGCCCGGGGCUCAACCCCGGGUCGGCCGUGCGGACUGCCGGGCUCGAGCACUGUAGAGGCGGGUGGAAUUCCGGGUGUAGCGGUGGAAUGCGUAGAGAUCGUUUGGAACGCCAAUGGUGAAAACAGGUCGCUGGGGAUGAGCUGACGCUGAGACACGAAAGCCAGGGGAGCAAACGGG